rnacentral:pre_miRNA from 1 species
AGACACCCUUCUGGGGCAAGACUUGCUUCAGUGGGGCUUUGGUGCUCACUGAGUCUACCCCUUGAGUGUGUCCCU